rnacentral:rRNA from 1 species
AGCGAACGCUGGCGGCAGGCCUAACACAUGCAAGUCGAGCGGCCGUAACAAUACGGCAGCGGCAGACGGGAGAGUAACACGUGGGAACGUGCCCUUUGGUUCGGAAUAACGCAGGGAAACUUGCGCUAAUACCGAAUAAGCCCUUACGGGGAAAGAUUUAUCGCCAUUGGAGCGGCCCGCGUCUGAUUAGCUAGUUGGUGGGGUAACGGCUCACCAAGGCGACGAUCAGUAGCUGGCUGAGAGGAUGAUCAGCCUCACUGGGACUGAGACACGGCCCAGACUCCUA